rnacentral:rRNA from 1 species
GUCCACGCAGUAAACGAUGAAUACUAGCUGUAUGCGAUAUACUGUAUGUGGCAAAGCGAAAGCGUUAAGUAUUCCACCUGGGGAAUACGUUCGCAAGAAUGAAACUCAAAGGAAUUGACGGGGGCCCGCACAAGCGGAGGAACAUGUGGUUUAAUUCGAUGAUACGCGAGGAACCUUACCCGGGCUUGAAAUGCAGACGACCGACGAGGAAACUUGUCUUCCAGCAAUGGCGUCUGUGUAGGUGCUGCAUGGUUGUCGU